UACUAACAACCGCCCUGGAGGCCUGUGAGAAGGCCGUGAGCUCACAGAGGGCUGGGGUCCGCAUUUCUGAGGUGGCAGGCCUGCCUAGGGAUGGGACGGGAACAAGCUCUCUCUGAAAACCUCGCCCACUGGAGCCCUUAGUCAGCGGGUUACUUCCUCGGCUUGGCUCCAAAGGAGAGGAUCCGCAAGCAGCGGGUCAUCCAUUAGCAGAUGAGGAAACUGAGACCCGGAGCAAGACAUUCGUUCCUCCCUGUCCUGGCUCAAGAACCCUCCUUCGAUGUCUUGUGGUCUCGGCCGGGGUCAGUUCAUUCAUUGGUCCAGCAGCUGUCUGGAGGCCAGGUGCGUGCCAGGUUCUGAGCCCAGGGGGAGGGCCAUGUGCACAGCGUGCCCUCCUCGCCCUGUGGAGCUUACAGCCUGGCUCUAGGCAGUACACACCGUUGAGUUAUUGAAUAAAGGGAUGCAUUUCUUCGGGACAUGGUCCAAGGUCCUGGAAACUUCCUAACAAAGCAUUCGCCAGCCUUGGGACUUCACGGUUGAACAGAUGCCGCAGAGCCAUAGUUGGGGGAAAAAGACAAUUUGCUUCCCAUCCACCCCCCACCCCUCUCCACACCCUGGACAAAUUUUCCUGGAGCCACCCCGGUGCUCUUGGCCAGCGUAGGAAAGAGCAGGAAUCCAGGUGAAGGUCAGCGUGGCUUCCCAAGAGUCUUAAAUCCACCUAGGCAUCAGGGACAAGGCUUGAUCCAGCUGGUCUCCUCGCCUUAUUUCCCAAUACAGACUAAUAUCUGCGAAUAAUUGAGUGAAUCCUGUUCCCUUUGACCUCACUUUUUCAAGUGAUUCCAACGUAGUAGCCAUGAUCCAAAAUUACGAUACGAAGAAGUGAGGGAACAUGGAGAUCAAGAUAGUUCAACGCCCUUGCCAUCUGUUGAUGAAUGCAGCUCCUUGGAGCAGAAAGAUCUUAGGACCUAUGGCACCGAGGGGUUCCCCAAAUCCAGCCUGACCUGUCUGUGAAACCCCCAAGCCCUGGUGCUAAGCUGACCUGGAUUGCGGUCCCAACUCUAGCCAGCUGUGUGACGUUGGCCGUUCAUUCAGCCCCUCUGAGCCUCAGUUUCCUUAUCUAUAAAAGGGAGCCAGGAACCCUGCCUCCCAGCUGGCAGUGGAGGUCGGAGAUGCUAAGGGGAGCCCGCGCUAGCUGGAAUAACUGAGCCACAGAAGUCCCUGGAUCAAGGUGCCCCAGCUCCCGACUGCCUUUUGGCCACUUCUGGCCAUGCUGUUUGUUGUUUAAUGUCUGCGCUGGGUUAAACAGUGUUCCCCAAAAGGUCAUGUCCACCCAGAACCUCUGAAGAUGACUGUAUUGGGAAAUAGAGUCUUUGCAGAUAUAAUUCAGGUAAGAAGCAAGGUGAGAUCAUGGAUUAGGGUGGGCCCAAAAUCCAGUGACAGUGUCCUCAGGAGAGACAGAAAAGAACAAGCAAAGACUCAGGGGAAAAGCUCCAGUGAAGACCCUGGCAGAGGUUUGGAGCCAACGAGCCCCCAGGAGCUGGAAGAGGCGGGAAGGACCCUCCCCUAGCGCAUCCAGAGCGGGCGCGGCCCUGCCCACACCUUGACUUUGGACUUCUGGCCUCCCAACUGGGAGAGGUGGAUUCCCGCUGUGUCAGGCCACCAAGUUUGUGUUUAUGUGUUUCAGCAACCCCAGGACACUCACGCAGGGUCAUUUCCCCCUCAAUUUCAGUCGCGCUCAAUUGAAAGCAGUUCAACAGAUGUUAAAUCCCUACCCUGCGGGACAGAUCCAACUGAGGGUUUGGAGACCUCUAAGGAGAAUGAGACCCAUUCUCUCUACUCAAAGGAACUGGGGACGCGAAUGCCUCUCCCUGAAGCGGCCGGGCAGCCCAUCCACAGGAGUUUUUCCUUCUGUGUCCUGCUGCCUUCCCAGAAGCCGCCAGGGGCCCCCAGGGGAGAGGGUGGCUGCUGACCAUCAGCCCCUCCACACACUGUCUCUCAGGCCUGGCCUGAGGCUUUGGUUUUCUCAGCUUCUUAUCUGCUCCACCUGCCACCGCCCCACCCCCAGGCUCCUUCCCUAAGGCGACUCCAGCUCUGCAGAAAGUGACCCCUGGCUUCCAGCCGGACGUGAGCCCGUCUCCACCUCUGCUUUGACAUCGGCUGC
ensembl:lncRNA